ensembl:snRNA U1 U1 spliceosomal RNA
GUGCUUGUCUGACAUGGGAGAUCCAUGAUCACAAAGGUGGUCUCCCCAGGGUGCGGCUUAUCCACUGGACUGUGGAUGUGCUGACUCCGCUAUUCUUCCAAAUGUGGGAAACUCAACUGCAUAAUUUGUUGUGGUGGGCAGGCUUUACCCU